AGCUACAGGACUAGCUAGCUAGCUAGUUGUAACUAUUGUAAUUUGCUGUCUUUUUCAAUAAACGCCUUGAUUCAACAUGGUGGACAGCUGCUGUGUGCCGGGAUGCCAGAACCAUCGGGUAAAAGAUAAUGGGAGAGCAUUUUAUAGGAUUCCCAAAGAUCCCGAGAGAAGAAGUAAAUGCAUUGCUGCCAUAAAACGUGCUAGAAGCAGACAGAGCCCACAAACAAUGGAUUUUGGUUAUGCUGUGACCACUUCAUAUCAGGGAAAAAGAGUGACCACCUUCUGUCACCUUAUACAUUCCUUCAAUCUUCAAUCAUGUUCCAUCCCCGGAGAAGA